rnacentral:rRNA from 1 species
UUGUGUAAGGGAAAGAAAAGAAGUAGCAGAAACUUUCCCCUUUAGCUCCGACGACGGGUUUAGACUCACGGGGACGCCGGGACGGGACGCCAGGUAGAUGCCACUUGAGGGAGUAAAAGAUUUUCUUUUUCUUUUUCUUUAGGACAAUAGUAGAGUCAGAUGGGGAUCAAGGGGUGGUCGUAGGAAUAGGUAGGUGUACGCAGUAGAAGAGGCUAAUUGUCGGCCGCCUGUUUCUACAGCGGCGAUCGGUAGUGGCUUCAUUAAGGGGUCGGUAGGACGAAGAACUAAGUAAAGAAGGUUAGAGAGGAGCAGCUAAAUGACGACGUCGACCGGUACACGCGCCUCACGCAUCUGCGCAAACAAGUAAGGCUCUCUACACCUACGAGCUGCUGGAGCAGCUCAGGCCGCCUCGUCGGUACCCCUCCUCGCCCCUUUUGUACUUUCGACGUGACGAGUUGGAGAAGUACAAGUGCCGGUCUACGGGUACCGACUCCACAACAUAGAACCGGGGUACCUCCUCGGACACUCCCUUUAGUGACUUAGUGUCUGACUACCACUAACAACCAAGACCUUGGACUCUUACCGCCGCGGCCCGUUUCGAUCGCCAUACGUUGUCAUCUCCGGCAACUAAACGAUAGGCCAAGACGAUAAUUCAAUGAUUUGGUUCCAUACAAGGACAGAUAACACCACCGCAGUAUAUCUAAACGGUUACAUAUCAAAGAAGUUUAACACUUCACUUAGGAUUACAGAGUUUGAGACCAGAACAUCAUACAAGAACAUAUAACACGACCGGAGUAUGUCUAAGUUUAUUUUAUCGUACGUGUAUUUCCUUUGAUGUACUUCUUUCAAAAUUUAGAAAAACCUGAUUCUUAUAACGAUUGUGAGUAUCCGAAUUAGAUUAUUCAUAGGAAUAGGACUAGCUACAGUCCAUCAGGAUGAAUUGAACCAGUUAUAUUUAUCAUACAGCAUGAUAAAGGAAGUAGAAGUUCGUAACAUAAAAACCGAAAACAUAUUGUACAGAUAACAAGGGCGCCUGUGGAAAAAGGAUAACAAGACCGUUUAAGCAGAGUCACGUAAGUAGGAGACUCAGUAGACUAUAGUGUUGUCUAGGGUCAGAGGUACCCCGAGUGCACGACGACGACUACUAUAAAACAGAACUGCGGGAAGAAACACAUUACAUGAGGGUAAUGACAGUACAUCAAAGAGAAAAUGUGCGUGGUCAAGCGUACUUUCGAACGAUCCACUUUGAAAUAAUAAGACACUGAUGUAUGUAUAUUUAAAUUUUUUAAUCUGUGUAGAGAUUUUAGACUUCACACAUAUCAAUUUUUUAGUUAGUGGAAAAAUAGACCGUACACGAAGAAGUAAUUAAUCCAUAGUAGGUAGUUAAGGACACUUUGUAUACAUUCUACUUAAUCAAUUCCUUAAGAUUUCUACCAUGAAGUAUAAAAACUUCUUUUUUCAAUUCCGUUGAGAUGGAGGAGCCAAAUAGCAAGUUCAUCUCGUAGAGUUCGGAUAAUAGUCCGUGUUUACAUAAAAAUGACGUAUCAAAACACACAGUUUCCACUCUAAUAUAGUAACUCGAACUUAGUUUUAUAUUCAAAAAGGGUGUAUUAACAACUUGUUAGAAACCACGAAGAAGACUAAAGCGUAGGUCACUCAAGUCGUUCACUCUACAUCUACAUAAUUCGUUCAAUAACAAGAGAGGUGCGCGAAGUAAACACAAUCAUCAGGUUAUUGUAAACAAAUAUACCUCUAAUAAAUAGUUAAUCUUUAUAAUUAAUAAACCUUCAGUAUUAAUAUUGAUAGUUGUAUGGAUUCGUAACACAUAGAAAAAGACAGGAACAUCACACGGGUACCAUCGUUUGAGCGCUUUUAUUAGACCCUUUUGAAAGCUUCUAGGAAAAUUGAAAAUGGACACAUAACAUACGUUUUUAUAUAAAAUUAAAGUAACGAGUAACCGGAUAUAAAACAUCUAAGGUGUUGGAAUUGUAACGACUUACGUAUUUAUCUAAAGAGUAACUAGAAACUAGAUUUGUACAGAUAAUCCAAGAAGGUCCAUCAUCGUACCUGACAAAGUGGGACGGUUUUGUUAGUCUAUACCAAUCAUUGACGAAGAAUUGAACUUUUUUUAGGGUUUAUUUAUAUAUUUUUUGUCUGGACGAGUAGGUAAUCAUAGUAUAGAUCCGAUUAUUCGAGUAACCAGCAUGCUAACUGACUCAGGGUGUGAGUAACACAAGUGAACUUACAGGUUUAAUACAGGCGAACAUUCAACAGCGAGUACAGUUCAUUAUAUCCUAUAUACUUCUAAGAUCGGUCUUUUUCAUUCGAACGAUUUAUUGUUAGUGGUUUAGACUACUAAGUCCGGUCUUCACGAAACCGCACUGAAGAAGGUUGCAACUAACCUCGUUAAACCGUACCGAAGCAGUCCGCAGUCUGUACGAAACCGCAUUUAAACAGCCUGCAGUUCACUUCGCCGACCCGUACCUAAAAACACCAUCGAGGCAACUGAAGUUGGACAAGUUCAGUACCACUAAAAGCUGAAGAUUAACGAACCACACACUAACACGCCGGCUGACAUGAACAAAUCUACCCAACUCCACCGGCUCUGCACACCUUUAGACUAGCAUUGGAACAUGAUAAAAAAGAAAAAACUUUAAAAGUAGUGUACUCUACCCAAACGUACAUAAGCAAGGACAAAGCCUUAAAAGUAGUACACUCUAUGCAGAGGAUGAACGUAGGCAAGGUUUGAGAAGGUACAAAAUAGGGUUA